UCUAGAACCGAUAACCCCCGUUCAACCUCACCACCCCUUGUUUAACCCGCCUAUAUACCACCGUCGUCAGCUUACCCUGUGAAGGCCCCAUAGUAAGCAAAAUGGGCAAAACCCAA
rnacentral:rRNA from 1 species